CCUACGGGAGGCUGCAGUAGGGAAUAUUGCUCAAUGGGGGAAACCCUGAAGCAGCAACGCCGCGUGGAGGAUGAAGGUUUUCGGAUUGUAAACUCCUUUUGUUAGAGAAGAUAAUGACGGUUUCUAACGACUAAGCACUGGCCAACUCCGUGCCAGCAGCCGCGGUCAUACGGAGGGCGCAAGCGUUACUCGGAAUCACUGGGCGUAAAGGGCGCGUAGGCGGGAUAGCAAGUCAGAUGUUAAAUCCUAUGGCUUAACCAUAGAACUGCAUUUGAAACUGUUAUUCUAGAGUAUGGGAGAGGUAGGUGGAAUUCUUGGUGUAGGGGUAAAAUGCGUAGAGAUCAAGAGGAAUACUCAUGGCGAAGGCGGCCUGCUGGAACAUGACUGACGCUGAUGCGCGAAAGCGUGGGGAGCAAACAGGAUUAGAUACCCGUGUAGUC
rnacentral:rRNA from 1 species